ACACAAAAAUGCACAUAUUGUGAGCUCGAUGAGUAGGGCGGGACACGUGGUAUCCUGUCUGAAUAUGGGGGGACCAUCCUCCAAGGCUAAAUACUCCUGACUGACCGAUAGUGAACCAGUACCGUGAGGGAAAGGCGAAAAGAACCCCGGCGAGGGGAGUGAAAAAGAACCUGAAACCGUGUACGUACAAGCAGUGGGAGCACGCUUAGGCGUGUGACUGCGUACCUUUUGUAUAAUGGGUCAGCGACUUAUAUUCUGUAGCAAGGUUAACCGAAUAGGGGAGCCGAAGGGAAACCGAGUCUUAACUGGGCGUUAAGUUGCAGGGUAUAGACCCGAAACCCGGUGAUCUAGCCAUGGGCAGGUUGAAGGUUGGGUAACACUAACUGGAGGACCGAACCGACUAAUGUUGAAAAAUUAGCGGAUGACUUGUGGCUGGGGGUGAAAGGCCAAUCAAACCGGGAGAUAGCUGGUUCUCCCCGAAAGCUAUUUAGGUAGCGCCUCGUGAAUUCAUCUCCGGGGGUAGAGCACUGUUUCGGCAAGGGGGUCAUCCCGACUUACCAACCCGAUGCAAACUGCGAAUACCGGAGAAUGUUAUCACGGGAGACACACGGCGGGUGCUAACGUCCGUCGUGAAGAGGGAAACAACCCAGACCGCCAGCUAAGGUCCCAAAGUCAUGGUUAAGUGGGAAACGAUGUGGGAAGGCCCAGACAGCCAGGAUGUUGGCUUAGAAGCAGCCAUCAUUUAAAGAAAGCGUAAUAGCUCACUGGUCGAGUCGGCCUGCGCGGAAGAUGUAACGGGGCUAAACCAUGCACCGAAGCUGCGGCAG
rnacentral:rRNA from 1 species